CGCUAGUUCCCUCGCUCCCCGGAGCCGGUCGGAGCGGCUCCCCCGCCUGUAGCCCUGCCGCGCCCUCCCACGCUGGCGGCGGGCGCGAGGGGGCUCAAGCCCUGCCGAAGGCCGGGGGUAGAGAGACCGGGCGGCUUCCAGCAGCAGUGGCCGGGGAGACAGCUGCCGCGAGGGUUCACCUGCCCGGUCUCCGCCUCCUCCUCGUCGUCCUCAGCCGGCCCCGCCGGAGCCCCGCACAGCCGUUUGAAGAUGGAGAUCAGAAAACUAUUGACCAAGACAGAUGUGGUGGAAAGGGUAACAGUUGAAUGACAGGACGCAGCCUGUCUAAUACCUGUCAAAUGGUGAUGGCUUUCCUGAACCUUCUGCUGCAGCAGAUCAUCAGCUGUCACAUGGCUGCAGGCACCAGGAGUGGCUUGCUGAGAUCCCAUGGCAGCCCCUCACUGGCAGGCAUUUCCCUGGCAGCCCCUCUUCUUGCUGCCUUUGGGAACACCUGCUACUUCACCUUCUGCCACCCAGCAAGCCAAGUAUGUGAGAGGAGGUUUCUCAGCCAAUGCCCUCCAGCAGCCGUGGGGCCACAGACACUCCUUGGGAGACAUCUCAUCUCACCUCGGCUCAGCUAGCUGCUGCUGGUGGCCACUGUGAAGAGUUUUCAGGGCCUCUCUAAAGACCAGGGGAGAGAGGUGAGCUGUGAGAUAGGUACCUGCCAGCUCUGCUGUCCCAGUUAUCGAUACCUAGCAUUAAGCACUCCUGGGGGUCAGACCAAAGCACAUAUACACUGUGAAAUUUCCUUUUUUUUUAUUUGGCUUUUGGGUACACCAGAGACCAAGAUCAGGAAGUGACAGAAGUCUGUUCAGGCUUCCUUCUAAAAUGGUGAACAUGCUGAAGACUGCCUUCAGAGGAAACAGUGUUUGAGUUGGUACCCAAAGGUACCCUCCCUGAGGAGUUAUGGGGAAGAAUAUGCAGAAAUGGUUUUUAGGAAUAUCUAGAUGUUUUCCUCCAUGGAUAGUGCAAUGAAUGGGUAGGAAGUGGUAGUAGUAGUAAGGUCUCUGUGCUGGAGUGGGAAAAAAAUUAGAUGUUCUGUUGUCCAAAGAAAAAUGCACGUGCAUCACCAUGGCCCUUGCAUGCCACCACGGUCUAAAAAUUAGGAACUGACUUGUACACACAUCACUCAUAAGAGUGGUUAAAUGUGUACCUGAUUGACCUUAUUGCCCUACUAACUAAUUAGGCAACUUACGGGGACAGCCUCACAGACGGUAAUAUUUUCUUUCUUUGGACUUGUUCCCUUUUCCCAUAAACUGCACCCAAAAGUAUCCAUUAUCCAAUUAAGCCAUGGCAGAUGGUGAGAUGACAAAAAGCAUGAGUCAGUCAUGGUACUGUACUGUGUCAGGGAGCAGUAUUAAAGAAAGGGUUGUGUCUUCAUUGUGCUGGGAGCACAGCUCUGGGAAUGCCUUAUAUAUAGACCAGAUCUGGAGUUUACUACAUGAGGAGGUGUGUAACCACAAAGGUCAGAAGGGCAGUGAUGGGGGAGGCCUUUGCCAACAUUACACACAUUUCAAUGCAGUAGGGUGUUCUUAUGUUUCAAAGGCAUUUGAUGCAGGGGUCUAAUAAAGUUUUUACUGCUGUAUACUUGGAGUGCUUG
rnacentral:lncRNA from 1 species